rnacentral:rRNA from 1 species
AUUGAACGCUGGCGGCAUGCCUUACACAUGCAAGUCGAACGGUAACAGGUCUUCGGAUGCUGACGAGUGGCGAACGGGUGAGUAAUACAUCGGAACGUGCCUAGUAGUGGGGGAUAACUACUCGAAAGAGUGGCUAAUACCGCAUGAGAUCUACGGAUGAAAGCAGGGGAUCGCAAGACCUUGUGCUACUAGAGCGGCCGAUGGCAGAUUAGGUAGUUGGUGGGAUAAAAGCUUACCAAGCCGACGAUCUGUAGCUGGGCUGAGAGGACGAUCAGCCACACUGGGACUGAGACACGGCCCAGACUCCUACGGGAGGCAGCAGUGGGGAAUUUUGGACAAUGGGCGCAAGCCUGAUCCAGCAAUGCCGCGUGCAGGAUGAAGGCCUUCGGGUUGUAAACUGCUUUUGUACGGAACGAAAAGCCCUGGGUUAAUACCCUGGGGUCAUGACGGUACCGUAAGAAUAAGCACCGGCUAACUACGUGCCAGCCGCCGCAGUAAAAC